rnacentral:lncRNA from 1 species
GGCGGGCGCCCCUCCCUGAGCCUCGCUGCCGCCUUGCAGUUUGAUGUCAGACUGCUGUGCUAGCAAUCAGCGAGACUCCGUGGGCGUAGGACCCUCCGAGCCAGGUGCGGGUUAUAAUCUCGUGGUGCACCGUUUUUCAAGCCCGUCAGAAAAGCGCAGUAUUCGGGUGGGAGUGACCCGAUUUUCCAGGUGCGUCCGUCACCCCUUUCUUUGACUCGGAAAGGGAACUCCCUGACCCCUUGCGCUUCCCGAGUGAGGCAGUGCCUCGCCCUGCUUCGGCUCGCGCACGGUGCGCGCACCCACUGACGUGCGCCCACUGUCUGGCACUCCCUAGUGAGAUGAACCCGGUACCUCAGAUGGAAAUGCAGAAAUCACCCGUCUUCUGCGUCGCUCACGCUGGGAGCUGUAGACCGGAGCUGUUCCUAUUCGGCCAUCUUGGCUCCUCCUCCUAUAUUUACUCUUUUAAUAGCAUUGCUUCCCUGUGAUCUCUAACCCACCACAAUUGAAAUGACAAGCGUUGAAAUGGGGGCCUCACGGUGGCGCCCUCUGCCUUUGCCGGCCCUUUCUGCAGCACGGAACGGUUCACGCCGCAGAGCACCGGUUCUCAAACUUGAAUAAUGCCU